rnacentral:rRNA from 1 species
GUGAAUCAUCGAGUCUUUGAACGCACCUUGCGCUCCUUGGUAUUCCGAGGAGCAUGCCUGUUUGAGUGUCAUGAAAACCCUCAACCUUAGAUUGGUUAUUUGACCUUUCUUUGGCUUGGAUUUGGACGUUUGCCGAUGAUAAGUCGGCUCGUCUUAAAAGUAAUAGCUGGAUCUGUCUCGCGACAUGGUUUGACUUGGCGUAAUAAGUAUUUCGCUAAGGACAUCUUCGGAUGGCCCUGUUGCAGACUAAAGACCGCUUUCUAAUCCAUUGAUCUUCGGUAUUAAUAUUCAUAACAUCUGGCCUCAAAUCAGGUAGGACUACCCGCUGAACUUAAGCAUAUCAAUAAGGCGAGG